AUUGAACGCUGGCGGCAUGCCUUACACAUGCAAGUCGAACGGCAGCACGGGGCAACCUGGUGGCGAGUGGCGAACGGGUGAGUAAUGCAUCGGAACGUACCUUUCAGUGGGGGAUAACGUAGCGAAAGUUACGCUAAUACCGCAUAUUCUGUGAGCAGGAAAGCAGGGGAUCGCAAGACCUUGCGCUGAUUGAGCGGCCGAUGUCAGAUUAGCUAGUUGGUGAGGUAAAGGCUCACCAAGGCGACGAUCUGUAGCGGGUCUGAGAGGAUGAUCCGCCAGACUGGAACUGAGAUACGGUCCAGACUCCUACGGGAGGCAGCAGUGGGGAAUUUUGGACAAUGGGGGCAACCCUGAUCCAGCCAUGCCGCGUGAGUGAAGAAGGCCUUCGGGUUGUAAAGCUCUUUCGGCCGGGAAGAAAUCGCACGGGCUAAUACCCUGUGUGGAUGACGGUACCGGAAUAAGAAGCACCGGCUAACUACGUGCCAGCCGCCGCGGUAAAAC
rnacentral:rRNA from 1 species